rnacentral:misc_RNA from 1 species
AAGUCGUAACAAGGUUUCCGUAGGUGAACCUGCGGAAGGAUCAUUACAAAACAUCUUGGUGGCUUCGGCCCCAAGGCGCACCCUGUUUACACGUAUUAUUGUUGCUCCCUCGGCGGUCUUCCGCCGACGGACGCCCUUACAAACCUUUGCAAUAGCCGUAACGUCUGAUCAAAUUUAAUUAUUUACAACUUUCAACAAUGGAUCUCUUGGUUCUG